CGGGUGUUCAGGGUGACCCCUGCGACGACCUCGAUGCUUGCACGAUCAACGAUGUGAUCACGGCAGGCUGCGUUUGCGCCGGCACCUUCCAGGAUACCGAUGGUGAUGGCACCUGCGAUGCCAACGACGGCUGCCCCCUUGAUCCUCUGAAGAUCGCCCCAGGCAACUGCGGUUGCGGUAACCCCGAGACCGGCGAUACCGAUGGUGAUGGAACAGCGGACUGCAACGAUGGUUGCCCCCUGGAUCCGUUGAAGAUCGCU
rnacentral:misc_RNA from 1 species